rnacentral:rRNA from 1 species
AUUGAACGCUGGCGGCAGGCCUAACACAUGCAAGUCGAACGAGUGGCGGACGGGUGAGUAAUGUCUGGGAAACUGCCUGGUGGCGGGGGAUAACUACUGGACACGGUAGCUAAUACCGCAUACCAUCGGAUCUGCCCAGAUGGGAUUAGCUAGUAGGUGGGGGAAAGGCUCACCUAGGCGACGAUCCCUAGCUGGUCUGAGAGGAUGACCAGCCACACUGGAACUGAGAAACGGUCCAGAAUCCUACGGGAGGCAGCAGUGGGGAAUAUUGCACAAGGGGCGAAAGCCUUAUGCAGCCAUGCCGCGUGUAUUAAGAAGGCCUUCGGGUUGUAAAGUACUUUCAGCGGGGAGGCGUUACCCGCAGAAGAAGCACCGGCUAACUACGUGCCAGCAGCCGCGGUAAUUC